rnacentral:lncRNA from 1 species
GGCUCCGCCGUCCCUUCGUUUCCUUGGGUCAUUCCCAGCCCGCAGGCACAGGUUCGGCCAAAUCAGAAUAGCUCCCGUCCUUUCAUUUUGUUUAGAUUUCACCUUAAGUCGACGCCACGGUGUGUAUCUAAAUACCUGUAUUUUUAAAGGACGCGCGGAAGCCGCAGGUUUCACCGCUGACUCGGAAACAUCACGCGGUCCCGCGCGGGAGUAGCACCGUCUUCCCCGCAGCGCCCGCCCCUCGCAUCCUCCGGGAAGCAUUCCGAGCUCAGGCCCAGCGCUUCUACGCCGCAGGCAACAGCCUUGUGGCCUCUAAGCCUUGCCGACUCCCCUACCAGGCUGAGCUCCUGGAGAAAGGGGCCUGUGGCCUGCCUUUAAUUUAUCACUCACAGAGUUUAUCGCGUGCCAGGCACUGUUCUGAGCUCUUUACAAGUGAACCCAUUGAAUCCCUUUUUAUACCUCUGGGUUAUCGUGAGGAAACAGAUGAAGGAUUCAUUUUAAACCCAGAAAGAAGGAGUACGUUGCCCAGGGUCACACAGCUGGUCAGUGUCAGAGCUUGGUUUCAAGCCCAGGCAGGCUGGUUCCAGAGCCCCAGUAUGUAGCGUGGUCCCAUCCCAGUUCAGGACUGGCAAAGAGUAGGCGCCAGGAAAUGUUUGUCCAUUAAAGAGUACAGACAUGAUAUUAGCUAACAAUUCCUGGAUGAUUUCUAUGUGCCAGGCACAACAAAUUACCAGAGAAGCACACUUAUUAUUCCCUUUGAGUCUGAGAGGAAUCUCAGACGGGAUGGUGGCAGCUGGGACUCCAGGGAUGCAGCCCGGCCCUCUUGCUGCGACUCAGAGGAGAGCUCACCCCAGUGGUGAGCAGUGAAGA